GGCGGAUGGGCAUGCGGCGCAUUAGCUAGUCGGCGGGGUAACGGCCCACCGAGGCGACGAUGCGUAGGGGUUCUGAGAGGAAGGUCCCCCACACUGGUACUGAGACACGGACCAGACUCCUACGGGAGGCAGCAGUGAGGAAUAUUGGUCAAUGGGCGCGAGCCUGAACCAGCCAAGUCGCGUGAGGGAUGACGGUCCUACGGAUUGUAAACCUCUUUUGCCGGGGAGCAAGCGUGCGUUCGUGAACGCGCGUCGAGAGUACCCGGAGAAAAAGCAUCGGCUAACUCCGUGCCAGCAGCCGCGGUAAUACGGAGGAUGCGAGCGUUAUCCGGAUUUAUUGGGUUUAAAGGGUGCGUAGGCGGGAUGCCAAGUCAGCGGUAAAAAUGCGGUGCUCAACGCCGUCGAGCCGUUGAAACUGGCGUUCUUGAGUGGGCGAGAAGUAUGCGGAAUGCGUGGUGUAGCGGUGAAAUGCAUAGAUAUCACGCAGAACUCCGAUUGCGAAGGCAGCAUACCGGCGCCCUACUGACGCUGAGGCACGAAAGCGUGGGUAUCGAACAGGAUUAGAUACCCUGGUAGUCCACGCAGUAAACGAUGAAUGCUAACUGUCCGGCUCGAAUGAGCGCUGG
rnacentral:rRNA from 1 species